GCGUAGCACAAGCUUGUAAUCCUAAAAUUCUUGAGAAGGUAGAGACAGGAGGAUUCUUGAGUUCAUUGUCCAGCCAGCUUACCCAAAUUAGUGAAUUCCAGGCCAGUGAGAGAUUCUGUCUCAAAAAAUAAGGUGGUUGGCCCCAAAGAAUGACAGCCAAAAUUGUACUCUGGCCUCAACAAUCACAUGCACACACAGCUUACACAUGUGAACACUUGGACACACACACACAUAUACACAAAACAAACUCAUUUUGAAUGUAUGUUUUUAAAUUAUUUUUAGAUUUAUUUAAGAUGUAUGAAUGUUUUGCCUGCAUGUAUGUAUGUGCACCAUGUAUGUGCCUGGUGCCCUGGUAGUCAGAAGAAAGCCUGUGAUCCCCUAGAACUGCAGUUAUGGGUUGUGAGUCACAAUGUGGGUGCUGGGAGUUGAACCUGGAUCCUCCAAAAGAACAAGAGCUCUAAACCACUGAGCCAUCUCCCCAGUCCCUUGACUGUUUAUUAUGAAUUGAGAUUUUAACUGAUAGUGUAAGUGCAUUGUAUGAUUUAUAUAAAUGCAUGUACAUUGGGGAUGCACACUCAAAUUUUUACUGAUGGAGAACCUAGUUAAAAAGGCAAGCUGUGGGGCUGUGGAGAUAGCUUGGUGAAUAAGGUGUUUGCCAACAGAAAUGUGAGAACCGCAAUUCAGAUGCUCAGACCACAUAAAAGCUGGGCAAGAGUGGCAGCCUCCUGUAAUCUCAGCACAGGGGAUCCCUGGGACAAGCUUACUGGCUAGACUGACUGGAACUGGCAAGCUCCAGGUUCAGGGAGAGAUCCUGCCUCAAUAGAUAAAGUAGAAAGCAAUCAAGGAAGCCACCUAACAACAAUUUCAGGCCUACACACACACACACACACACACACCAUGCACACAUGUUGGAAGAAGACAAGCUGUUGUCAUAAGCCACAUAAAUGAAUCUUCAUGAUCACCCUGUGGUACUGUUUUUUAGAAAAGAAAAUGGAAACUCAGGAAGACAAAGAUCCCCAAAAACCAUAAGCUGCAGGAUGUAUGGAGAAAUGAGGACCAGCCAGCUAUAAAACUUAAGUGAGCAAUUCAGAAAGAUACCUGGAAACUAAAAGGCAAAUUCCAGACUGAUCACUACUGAGUCAUGAGCUCUGCCCCCGUUCUAUUCCCAGAAGAUCAUGUCAGGAAAGCUCGCCCCAAAGCACCACUCACCCCAUCAGACUGAAAGAUGUUGCCUGGAUCCUAAGAGUGAAAACAUCACCCCUGGAGAAAAAAGCCAGGCACAAGUCAUAGGACAUUCUAAAGAUGCUACCAUCAUCAGCACCAACAAACACACACGUCACCUUCAUGAGCAGGUCUGAAAUGGGAAGCAAGCCCCCAAUCCCAGUUUAACUCCGGCUGCACAAAGGGUCUGAUCCUAGCAAAGACUAAGGCAUUUCAAAUCUGUGACUUUGUAGGUUGCAGUGUUUAAAAAUAAACAUACCCCCACCCUGCGUGUGCUACACACACACACACACACACACACACACACACACACACACACACACACACACACACCAAUACAUAAUGGGGAGAACUAGUCAUUGGAAGAACGGAAACCUAUUUCUCACUCUGCAGCGAUCCAGUCUGCCUCCCCCAGCUCAGAAAUGUGCUGUGCUCAGCGUUUCUGUGCGGAUGCUGCAUCCCUGGUUAGAAUAAGGAAGGCAGCAGCGGCUGCAGCAGCAGCAACAGUAGCAGCCACAGCACAGGCUCCAGGGGGUGGGAAUCAGAUUGCACCAUUUCUACCUCUUUGGCGACAGAAGCUCCAAGUGACAAGGAGGGUGAGAAUGUAGUCCAGAGGCUGCUGGGCUAUGUCACUCUGAAGGUGUCAUACCCGGGAUCUCUCACAUGCUGACUGAGAUACACUCAACAACCCCAAUGCUCACAUUCAAUAUCUCAAGGCUCGGCACAGCAUCCCGAGGCCUUACUACCCUGUUGUCCGAACUUGACAAGUCAGGAAGACUGAGGCUGGCACGUCUCGUGUUCCCUGGGCACGCCAGAUGCACUGUUGAUGCUGGGAGGGCGUUUCUCCAAACCUGGAGAUGUUAUUUGCCGGCAGUUCCUGUCAAGCCCUCUCCAUGCCACCACGCAUCUUCAGUCAUGGCUUCCUAACGCAUAGAGCUACGAGACUUCCUCUGUGCCCUGUCUCCACACUGAGAGGUCUGCGUUCCCCUCUCUUGCUCUUUCCUAGAGUAGCACUGAGUGUGUGCUCACUAAGCCACAGUGCCAGGCACAGUGCUAAGCAGCUUUCACGCAUGACGUCAUUUAACCCCAACAAUAAUUCUAUUCAGUAGAUAAUAUGAUUAGCCCGGCUUACCGAUGAAGAAACUGGCAACUUGUCCAAAAUGGCAUGGUUGAAAAAUAAUGGGGACGGAGAUCCUGUUUGGGAGGAUGAUGAAAGCUUCUGGAAAUGGAUAGAAGUGAUGAUUGAAUGACAUUGGAAACGUAUUUAAUGCUACGAUUUUAAAUGGUGUGGGGCAUGGUGGCUCAUGUGGGAGGCCGAGGUAGGAAGGCUGCCACAAGUUCAAAGCCAGCCUGGGCCAGCCUGAACUGCAGAGUGAGACCCUGUCUCAAAAUGAAACAAAAUAAAAGGCUAAAAUGCUAAAUUCAUGUUACACAUUUUUUUUUUACCACAAUAAAAGGAAAAGAGUAGGAUCAGGGAUAGAGCUCAGUUGGUAGAAUAUCUGUCUAGUACUCAGGAAGCCCUGGGUUCAAUCCCCAGCACCACAUAAAACUAGGCAUGGAGGCAUGUGUCUGAAAUCUCAUCGAUAAGAGGUGGAGGCAAAAGAAUCAGAAGUCCAAAGUCAUCCUUGGCUAUAUAUUGAGGCCAGCCUGCGCUACAUGAGAUUUGUCUCAAAAAAAAAAUUUUAAAAAAAGAAAGAAAAGGGGAAAGAAGGAAGAAGAGAAAGGAAGGAGAAGAGAGAAAAGAGAGGAAGAGAAAGAGAGAGAGAGCAUAAGCCACCUAGACAGGGGUGGAGGAGGGAGGGACGGAGGGAAGGAGAGAGGAAGGUCAAAAGUAAGCACCACGUCUCAUCUAUUGCUACAAACAAAUAGGACUCAGAAAUGGAGCUGAUGAGUCUGACUAAAUUAUAUCUGUUGUCAAAUAACUAGAUGUGUAUAACAUUGUAUCUUGAUAUUUGUCUGAGACUUUUUUGUAGCUAGAACAUGAUCAAGGUUUUAUAGGAAAUGUCACAGGGAUUUUUCUAAUAAUGAAUAAGAGGGUUUCUAAACCUGUGUGUUAAAGUAAGAUGUGUGCGUGCGUGCGUGCGUGCGUGCGUGCGUGCGUGCGUGCGUGUGUGUGUGUGUGUGUGUGUGUGUGUGUGAGAGAGAGAGAGAGGGGGGGGGGCAGACACACACACACACACACACACACACACAGAAGGAGAGAGAGAAAGAGAAUCUCAUGUAGCCCAGUCUGGCUUCAUACUUGUGUGUAGCCAAGGAUGACAUUAAUUGGAUCUUGCCUCUACUUUCCCAGUGAUGGAUUAUAGAUGUACACCAUCACACCCAGUAUAUGGGGUGCUGGAUAUUGAACCUGGGGUCUCACGCGUGUUAGACAAGCACUAUACAACUGAGCUACAUCCCCGGCCCUUUAAAAGAGGUUGUCACAUUGUUACAUUGUUCCAAGAUUGCAUAACCUUUCUAAGUUAUUGGCUUUUGAUGUCCAAGAAAAGGGAACUCAAAAUCUCUGUUUUGUGUUCCCGGUUUUUUCCCUAUUACUUCUCUUUGUUGAUGUUGUUUCGUUGGCAUUUGUGAUUUUUGGUUGGUUGGUUGGUUUGUUUGUUUGUUUGUUUGUUUGUUUUGUUUAGUUGUUUUUGUUUUUUGCUUUUCUACUUUGGAGCUCAGUUUCUAGGAGCAAACAAUUUUAGAACUAUUGUUCUACUCAGUUUUCUCCCUCUAUUGGUUGUUAUGUAAACUCCAUCUAUAUCAAUACUUCUAGUCUUCCAGGCUGCUUUAUUCUGACAUUAACAGUAAUUGCCAGUUUUUGUUUGGUUGAAAUUUGGCUCCUUGCAAGGUGUGGUGGCAUACACCUUUAAUCCCAGCACUUGAUUGGGGGGAGCGGGGCAGAGGCAGACGGAUCUCUGUGAGUUUGAGGCCGGCUGGGUCUACAAAGUGAGUUCCAUGACAGCCGAGGCUGUUACACAGAGAAACCCUGUCUCAAAAAACAAACAAGCAAAGAAAUUUAGCUCUCAUUCUCUCACCCUUUGCAUUUUAUGUUUUUAUAUGUUUCUUACAAACAACACAUAGGUAGAUUUUACUACAACUCCAGCUAGAUCUAUCUCCUUCGAGCUCUGCAAUAUGAUUCAAUGAAAAGAAGACUUUUUUGUUUGUUUUCUUUCAUUUUUCAAGACAAGGUUUCUCUGUGUAACAGCCCUGGCUGUCCUGGAACUAGCUUUGAAAACCAGGCUAGCCUCAAACUCACAGAGGUCUACCUACCUCUGCCUCCCAGAAAGAACACUCUUAAAGCCUGCCCAUAGGUUUUAGGGACUCAUUUCCAGGAGAUUUUCUGGUUUUCUCAUUGAAGGACCUCUGUGAGCAUGUUCUUCACAUACCCCUUACAGCACGUUAAAAAAAAAAAAAAAAAAAAAAAAA